GAAGUGAUGCCAAGGAACAGAGCUGGUCUUAGAAGGGAAACUAAGAGACCUAACAAGCGAGCUGCUGCAGUUACAGCUAGGCCUUGAAGGGGACAGGACUUCAUCUGGAAGGACUAUUGCCGGAACAUAACCUGGAAAUAGGCUGAGAAAGUCAACAGGACAGCAGCAAAAAUGAUUGGAGGUUUAGAAAAAAGGGAAUGCCACCGAUGCACCUGCAGAAGGAGCAGAGGGAUGUUUUUCUGAUGUGAGUUUGUGGCCCCAUGACAGCAC